CGACGUAUAAUCUCUCCCCUUACCUCUCCUUUUCUCUCCGUAGUCCUCCCUCCCUCCCUACGUAUAUCUGCCCUUAUACCUCUCCCUUUCUCCUGACAGCCUCCUCCCUUCCUACAGUAUUUCUCUCCCCUAUACCUCUCCUUUCUCUCCUGUCAGUCCUCCCUCACCUACAGAGUAAGAUCUCUCCCCUCUACCCUUCAUUUUCUCUCCUGUCAGCUCCCUCCCUACAGUAUCUCUCCCCUAUUACUCUCCUUUUCUCUCUUCUGUCAGCCUCCCUCCCUACAGUAUAUCCUCCCCUAUAACCUCUCCUUUUCUCUCCUGUCAGCCUCCCUCCCUACAGUUAUCUCUCCCCUUAUACCUCUCUUUUCUCUCCUGUCAGCCCUCCCUCCUCCUCCCAGUAUUAUCUCUCCCUACCUCUCAUUUUCUCUCCUGUCAGUCUCCCUCCCUACAAGUAUAUUCUCCCUUAUACCUCUCCUUUUCUCUUCUGUCAGCCUCCUCUCCUCACAGUAUAUCUCUCCCCUUUAUACUCUCCUUUUCUCUUCUGUCAGCCUCCCCCUACAGUAUAUCUCUCCCUUAUACCUCUCCUUUUCUCUUCUGUCAGCCUCCCUCCCUACAGUAUAUCUCUCCCGUUCUACCUCUCUUUUCUCUGUCAGCUCCCUCCUACAGUAUAUCCUCCCCUUAUACCUCUCCUUUUCUCUUCUGUCAGCCUCCCUCCCUACAGUAUAUCUCUCCCUUAUACCUCUCAUUUUCUCUUCUGUCAGCCUCCCUCCCUACAGUAUCUCUCCCCUUAUACCUCUCCUUUUCUCUUCUGUCAGCCUCCCUCCCUACAGUAUAUCUCUCCCCUUCCCCUUCAUUUUACGCACUCAUACAUUCACCCACUCUGUCCUCAGUGUAGACUAGACUGUUGGUGGGUUUUUGCUUUGUAUUACAUUGUAUUAUAAACUUUUAAAAGAUAGAGACAUAAAACAUGGUUUGAGUUCAUAGAAGAGUACAUUAAUGCUUCCGUAGCUAUCAGAGCGAUGCCACAGUGACAGAAUGUAUUAUGUUGAUUUUACUAAUACCCAGAGGCAAGUGUUACGCUUGUUCAAAUAACAUAAAAAAUACUGAUUUGUAGAGUAUCAAUUUGGUGUGUUUUCAAUAAACCAUGCCUGGAAAGAACAUGUUGCCUGUGAAUUUUGUGUUGAUAUUCCAUUCCAAGAAGACCAAGGAUCUAUACAGCUUCAUGAAUUUUUACCUCAAGCCAAAAUCCAUUCCCAAUAAAUAAUAUAUUGUAGAAGUUGUUACUAAUGUCACAUUGUCAUAUGGUUAAAAGAGACUCAUGCUACUGUCGUGUCUUUGGCAUCAUUAAACUGAAGACUGUUAUUUUAUCAAAUCAAUUCAGUAAUUAUUAUUAUGUGAUUAAACUAAUCACGUAAAUGUAAUUAACUUGGAAGGUGGGGCACCAAGGAAAAUAUUCAGAUUACAAAGUUAUAAUUUUCCUAAUAUAACUUUCAAAUAUUUAAACAUCU
rnacentral:lncRNA from 1 species